rnacentral:rRNA from 1 species
AACGAACGCUGGCGGCAGGCUUAACACAUGCAAGUCGAGCGCCCCGCAAGGGGAGCGGCAGACGGGUGAGUAACGCGUGGGAAUCUACCCAUCUCUACGGAAUAACGCAUGGAAACGUGUGCUAAUACCGUAUACGUCCUUAGGGAGAAAGAUUUAUCGGAGAUGGAUGAGCCCGCGUUGGAUUAGCUAGUUGGUGGGGUAAAGGCCUACCAAGGCGACGAUCCAUAGCUGGUCUGAGAGGAUGAUCAGCCACACUGGACUGAGACACGGCCCAGACUCCUACGGGAGGCAGCAGUGGGGAAUAUUGGACAAUGGGCGCAAGCUUGAUCCAGCCAUGCCGCGUGAGUGAUGAAGGCCCUAGGGUUGUAAAGCUCUUUCACCGGUGAAGAUAAUGACGGUAACCGGAGAAGAAGCACCGGCUAACUCUGUGCCAGCCGCCGCCGUAAGAC